rnacentral:rRNA from 1 species
UACGUAGGGACCGAGCGUUGUCCGGAUUCAUUGGGCGUAAAGAGCUCGUAGGCGGCUGUUCAAGUCGAACGUGAAAACUCGGAGCUCAACUCCGAGCCUGCGUUCGAUACUGGCGGGCUCGAGGCCGGUAGGGGGAAGUGGAAUUCCCGGUGUAGUGGUGGAAUGCGUAGAUAUCGGGAGGAACACCAGUGGCGAAGGCGGCUUCCUGGACCGGUUCUGACACUGAGGAGCGAAAGCGUGGGGAGCGAUCCGG